AUGACUCUCGGCAACGGAUAUCCCGGCUCUCGCAUCGAUGAAGGACGUAGCGAAAUGCGAUACUUGGUGUGAAUUGCAGAAUCCCGUGAACCAUCGAGUUUUUGAACGCAAGUUGCGCCCGAAGCCGUUAGGCUAAGGGCACGUUUGCCUGGGCGUCGUA
rnacentral:rRNA from 1 species